rnacentral:rRNA from 1 species
GCCCUUUAGACAGGGAUACCCUUCCGAAAGGAAGAACAAUACCUGAUAAGAUCUUAGCAAGGCAUCUUGCGGAGAUAAAAGCUAUAUGCGCUAAAGGAGGAGCUCGCGUUCCAUUAGUUAGUUGGUGGGGUAAAGGCCUACCAAGGCGACGAUGGAUAGCCGGCCUAAGAGGGUGUACGGCCACAAGGGGAUUGAGAACGGCCCCUACUCCUACGGGAGGCAGCAGUGGGGAAUAUUGCGCAAUGGGCUAAAGCCUGACGCAGCAAUGCCGCGUGAACGAAGAAGGCCUUAGGGUUGUAAAGUUCUUUCAGCAGGGAAGAAAAAAAUGACGGUACCUGCAGAAGAAGCCACGGCUAAUUACGUGCCAGCAGCCGCGGUAAUACGUAAGUGGCAAGCGCUAUCCGGAAUUACUGGGCGUAAAGAGUGCGUAGGUGGCUAAAUAAGUCAGAAGUGAAAAUUCUGGGCUCAACCCAGUCCUUGCUUUUGAAACUGUAUAGCUUGAGUAUGGGAGAGGAAGGCAGAAUUAUCAGUGUAGCGGUAAAAUGCGUAGAUAUUGUUAGGAACGCCAAUGGCGCAGGCAGCUUUCUGGACCAAUACUGACACUGAGGCACGAAAGCUAGGGGAGCAAACAGGAUUAGAUACCCUGGUAGUCCUAGCUGUAAACGAUGGAUACUUGGUGUGGGCCAUCGCAUGGUCCGUGCCGGAGCAAACGCGUUAAGUAUCCCGACUGGGGAGUACGGCCGCAAGGCUAAAACUCAAAGGAAUUUGACGGGGAACCGCACAAGCGGUGGAGCAUGUGGUUUAAUUCGAUGCAACGCGUAGGAACCUUACCAGGACUUGACAUUUUACUAAUCCUAUAGAGAUAUGGGAGUGCUGCUUGCAGAAAGUAAAAACAGGUGGUGCAUGGUUGUCGUCAGCUCGUGCCGUGGGGUGUUGGGUUAAGUCCCGCAACGAGCGCAACCCCUGCACAUAGUUGCCAUCAUUAAGUUGGGUACUCUAUGUGGACUGCCUGCGACGAGCAGGAGGAAGGUGGGGAUGAUGUCAAAUCAUCAUGCCCCUUAUGUCCUGGGCUACACACGUGCUACAAUGGACGGUACAAAGAGAAGCGAAGCAGUGAUGUGGAGCGAAUCUGUAAAAACCGUUCUCAGUUCGGAUUGUAGUCUGCAACUCGACUACAUGAAGUUGGAAUCGCUAGUAAUCGUGAAUCAGCAAUGUCACGGUGAAUACGUUCUCGGGUCUUGUACACACCGCCCGUCACACCACGAA